rnacentral:rRNA from 1 species
UACGUAGGGUGCAAGCGUUGUCCGGAAUUAUUGGGCGUAAAGAGCUCGUAGGCGGCUAGUCACGUCGGAUGUGAAAACCCGAGGCUCAACCUCGGGCCUGCAUUCGAUACGGGCUGGCUAGAGUAUUGCAGGGGAGACUGGAAUUCCUGGUGUAGCGGUGAAAUGCGCAGAUAUCAGGAGGAACACCGAUGGCGAAGGCAGGUCUCUGGGCCACUACUGACGCUGAGAAGCGAAAGCAUGGGGAGCGAACAGG